GAUCCUGGCUCAGAACGAACGCUGGCGGCAUGCCUAACACAUGCAAGUCGAACGAGACCUUCGGGUCUAGUGGCGCACGGGUGCGUAACGCGUGGGAACCUGCCUUUAGGUUCGGAAUAACAGUGAGAAAUUACUGCUAAUACCGGAUGAUGUCUUCGGACCAAAGAUUUAUCGCCUUUAGAUGGGCCCGCGUUGGAUUAGCUAGUUGGUGGGGUAAAGGCCUACCAAGGCGACGAUCCAUAGCUGGUCUGAGAGGAUGAUCAGCCACACUGGGACUGAGACACGGCCCAGACUCCUACGGGAGGCAGCAGUGGGGAAUUUUGGACAAUGGGCGCAAGCCUGAUCCAGCCAUGCCGCGUGCGGGAUGAAGGCCUUCGGGUUGUAAACUGCUUUUGUCAGGGAAGAAAUCCUCUGGGUUAAUACCUCGGGGGGAUGACGGUACCUGAAGAAUAAGCACCGGCUAACUACGUG
rnacentral:rRNA from 1 species